GGGGAGGUAGCUCAGCGGUAGAAUGCAUGCCUUGCAAGCAUGAGGCCCUGGGUUCAAUACCUCAGCACCA
rnacentral:tRNA from 1 species